rnacentral:tRNA from 1 species
UGGCAGAUAACGUUCUAGGUGAGACGUGCUCGACUGUUAAUCGAGAAUAGGUGGGUUCGAAUCCCGCUCUGCCAGCCA